rnacentral:rRNA from 1 species
GGUUCGAUCAUGGCUCAGAUUGAACGCUGGCGGGAUGCUUUACACAUGCAAGUCGAACGGCGGCACGGACUUCGGUCUGGUGGCGAGUGGCGAACGGGUGAGUAAUGUAUCGGAACGUGCCUAGUAGCGGGGGAUAACUGCAGAAAGCGUAGCUAAUACCGCAUACGCCCUUCGGGGGAAAGCAGGGGACCUUCGGGCCUCGCGCACUAUUAGAGCGGCCGAUAUCGGAUUAGCUAGUUGGUGGAGUAACGGCUCACCAAGGCGACGAUCCGUAGCUGGUUUGAGAGGACGACCAGCCACACUGGGACGAGACGGCCCAGACUCCUACACGGGAGGCAGCGGUGAAAUUUUGGACAAUGGGGAAACCUGAUCCAGCCAUCCCGCGUGUGCGAUGAAGGCCUUCGGGUUGUAAAGCACUUUUGGCAGGAAAGAAACGGCACGGGAUAAUACCCCGUGCGAAAGCUGACGGUACCUGCGGGAAUAAGCACCGGCUAACUACGUGCCAGCAGCCGCGGUAAUACGUAAGUGCAAGCGUUAAUCAAGUUACUGGGCGUAAAGCGUGCGCAGGCGGUUCGGAAGAAAGAUCUUGAAAUCCAGAGCCUAACUUUGGAACUGCAUUUUUAACUACCGAGCUGGGAGUGCUGUCAGAGGGAGGUGGAAUUCCGCGUGUAGCAGUGAAAUGCGUAGAUAUGCGGAGGAGCACACCGAUGGCGAAGGCAGCUUUCUGGGAUAACACUGACGCUCAUGCACGAAAGCGUGGGGAGCAAACAGGAUUAGAUACCCUGGUAGUCCACGCCCUAAACGAUGUCAACUAGCUGUUGGGGCCUUCGGGCCUUGGUAGCGCAGCUAACGCGUGAAGUUGACCGCCUGGGAAAUACGGUCGCAAGAUUAAAACUCAAAGGAAUUGACGGGGACCCGCACAAGCGGUGGAUGAUGUGGAUUAAUUCGAUGCAACGCGAAAAACCUUACCUACCCUUGACAUGUCUGGAAUCCCGAAGAGAUCUGGGAGUGCUCGCAAGAGAACCGGAACACAGGUGCUGCAUGGCUGUCGUCAGCUCGUGUCGUGAGAUGUUGGGUUAAGUCCCGCAACAGGCGCAACCCUUGUCAUUAGUUGCUACGAAAGGGCACUCUAAUGAGACUGCCGGUGACAAACCGGAGGAAGGUGGGGAUGACGUCAGUCCUCAUGGCCCAUAUGGGUAGGGCUUCACACGUCAUACAAUGGUCGGGACAGAGGGUCGCCAACCCGCGAGAGGGCAAUCCCAGAAACCCGAUCGUAGUCCGGAUCGCAGUCUGCAACUCGACUGCGUGAAGUCGGAGAUCGUAGUAAUCGCGGAUCAGCAUGUCGCGGUGAAUACGUUCCCGGGUCUUGUACACACCGCCCGUCACACCAUGGGAGUGGGUUUACCAAGUAGUUAGCCUAACCGUAAGGAGGCGAUUACCACGGUAGGAUUCAUGACUGGGGUGAAGUCGUAACAAGGUAA